GCAAGGAUAACUCAGUUGGGAGAGCGUCAAACUGAAGAUUUGAAGGUCAUGUCUUCGAUCCACACUCACUGCA
rfam:Picea glauca, whole genome shotgun sequence.